AUCCUAUUUAAUGAUAUUGGAAAAUUUUUUUGUUUUCGGGAAAUUAAAACACUACAGAACUCAACUGGACUGAGGAAGAGGUUGAGUUAUGAGCAGCUUCAGUAGUAAGUUAGAAGGUUAACUUCACGUACCAACUUAAUUAAUAAUCGAGCUCACAGCAACAUAAGUGAUGAUUGUUGGUGAUUUAACGUAUCAUUAAAGCUAAUUACAGACUACAUAAUAAGCAUUAAGCCAUU